UAGAUUUACACAAUAGGCACUAUUUUGUCUGUCUUCUUUCACACAGAAUGACGGUUUUUUUUUUGUUUUCUUUCUUUUCCAAGACUAUUUCUUAGUGUGAACAGCAUGAUUUUUUUGAGUGAAUAAAUGAGUCGAAAAGCUAUGAACAUUCAGGUACAAGUCUUUGUAUGAACAUAUAUUUUCCUUUCUCUUUGGUAAAUACCUGAGAGUAGAAUAGCUGGGCCACAUGGUGGGGCUGAUAAUACCAACCACCCCAGGUUGCCACGUAGAGUAACGAGGUGAUGAAUGAAAGCACCUGGAACUAUGCCCCGUCCAUGGCUCCACAGCUGUUUUGCAAACACAUAAUCUGAAUCAGAGACCUGAACAGAAGACGCAACUUCAGGCGCAGACCUCUGGGAGCCCUGAGAUGGUCCAGAUUCUGUUUAAAGGGUUUGUCUUAAAGAGUUAGAGGCCUGCCCUUCAUCCCUUUCCUUCCACAAUUGGCCUGGAAUGUGCGCAUCUGGAGCUCUAGCUGCCAUCUUGGGUCACAAGAACAAGGAGCAUAACGUAGAUCUGGGAUGAUUCAUAAACUGUGAAGAAACAGGUCCCUAAUGAAUUUCUGAUGAAUCUGUCCUGGACACCUACCUCAUGACGUCUUUUAGAUGAAAACAAAUAAAACUGUGUGUGUCUAAGCCACCAUUAUUUGUUUGCUCUGCUGUGCGAGGCUAAACUUACUCCUAACUCAUAUCAUCAUUGUCUUUUGUUUCUUUGUAUAUUUGGGGAUUUUUUCAUUGUAAUUAUCCAUUUGGUUUCACAUAGUCUAUACGAAUCCUGAAAUCCUGAAUUAAUGACACCUUCCUCCAAAAGGGAUUUGAAUUUAUAUAUUUCUGGAAUUACGUAUGCUAACAACAGGGGACAGCUUUAGCCUCCUUAAUUAGGACACAGGGCCUGGCAGCAGCCUCAGAGCUUAGCUUUCAAUCCCUCAUUUGUGACUGACAUUGGCAUUUCUCCUCCAAGUUUUGCAGUUUGCUUACCACCCAAUGCUCGUUUUAGCUUACUAUGCAUGUUUGCAUGUUGUUUUAUUCUGUUUUGUUGACAUUGGAAAGUUCCCUUUGUUUCUUGUAAGAGCUCAACGUAUUUUUUAAAAUGUUAUAAUCUGAUUAUGUUGCCAUUGUAGUGGAAUAUUACUUCAGAGGCCUGUUCACCAUUCACCCAGAAGCGGCACUGACACCCUUCCCAUGCCAGUUUCACCAUUAGAUGUGCUACAAAGGCUUUAUGUCAGAUUGACCCAUCCAAUACUUUGAUGCAAGCUUGGUACAAGCAGAGCUCUUCUGAAAACAAUAUUGUUACCACUUUCUAUGUGGUAACAAUUCACUCAUUUAUUUGUAUUGGGGAUUCGGUUUGCACUCAUUGCUAUUAUUUUCUUUUAGAGUUUCUGGGACCUCUUUCAAAUUACACGAGUUCAUUCCUCUGCCUGCAAAGAUUCUGACCCAUCCUCAGGGAUGUGUAUAAUACAAUUCUACUAAGGGAAAUACACUAUUACUCUGCAACUUGCUUUUUAAAUUAAUAAUAUGUCAUUUUGCCUUUCAGUACUUAUAGUCACCUCAUUCUUCCUUCAUAGCCGAAUAGUAUUCUGUGGUACAUACCACAAUUUAUUAAACAAUUUUACCACUGAUAGACCUUUAGGUUGUUUCCAAUAUUUUGAUAUUAUUAAUACUGCUGUGCUAUAAUAAGCAUAUAUAUACUUGUAUAUGUGCACAUAUUUCUGAGUAAAUUUAUAGAAAGGCUCUGUAAACAUAUACUUAUUGGUUCAAGGGGUAUGAAUAUUUAACAUUUUGAUGGAUGUUGCCAAUUUGUCUCCACCAAAAGCCAUGCUAAUGUAAUGUGUUUGUGACAGACACUACUAAUGCCAACUUAAUAUUAAUUUUCCCAAAUUCUAUACUGAAAGAAUCCCUGUUUUGUUUCAGAGAGGUGGUAUGCCUAGCCAAAGGCAACAUUUCACAGUCUCACUCUGAGCUAAGUGUGGUCACAGGACUAACUUCUGUCCGCUGAACUAUGAAUGAAAGUGUCGUGUGGGGUGUGCUGCAGUGCCACUUACUGGAAGAUGUGUCACUUUCCACCCUUCUACCUUUAUUCCUUCUUCAAACCUUCUCAGUGGUUUGAUGGCAAGGUCCUUGCAGUCAUCAUGAACCAUGAAAUCAUCUUGAGGAUAGGGGUAGUGGAGAAAAAAGAAUGGAGCCUGAAUCAUGGAGAGCCACUAUGCAACUUUAGACUACCUACAGCUUGACUUUCAUUAUAUGGGAGAAUUAACCCAUUAUUUUCCAGGUCUUUGCUACAUGCAGGUAAAUACUAUUUCUAAAUAACACAGCGCCCCUUUCAAUCAUGUAAACAAUACAACAGUCCCAUUGAGUACUUGCUGUGGUCCCCAUCAUGUGCUGUAGACUGUCACCGCAGAGCCCUUGCUCACUACCACAGUGGCUGUCCUUUCUGCAUGGGUCAGUGCAACCAGGUAGGUGGGCUUGUACAUUGACUCCUCAUCCUUUCUUUCCCAAUUGGUGACCUCAGUUCACAGGACUAGUAGAACAAACUUUAAAUUUUCAUUUUUGGCUCAGAUCAUCUAGGGAAAUUAGUCUACACAAAUACACAUACACACACAUACACACACACACACACUCACAUCCAGUACAUACAGAAAACCAAAUGGCUUUUCAGA